rnacentral:lncRNA from 1 species
AAGGAGAGUAAACUUUCAUUUAAUUUAGCUGAAAACCAUUUAAAAAAAUCGAAUAAGACAUGAUAUUCAUAUUUUGGACAGACAAUUGAUAAAUAACAAUAUAUCAGUUACGUAACUUUUGAACGGCGAUAAUGUUUUUAUUAAAUUUUGAAAGUGCGCAAAAUUUAGACGAUUAUUUUGGUGUGCACAGCAUUACACUCAACAGCAGUUUGGUAUUGACUUUCAAAUCACGACAGCGCAAAACAAUAAAGAAAACUAAAUGCUUUCAGGUGUGUGACCUUAUCGUUAAUAAUAAUUACAUACCUAAGUAGAAAGAAGGUGUUUAAUAUAUAAUAUCUUUAAUAUCAAUGCACGUCUUAUUAAUCGAACUGUGAAAUUGAGUGAAAAAGGCGAAAAAUACAUCUGUUCAGUGUAAUAUUUGUUCAGCUUUUCUUUGCUUCAGCUGAUAGUUCGGCACAUCUCCAAAUCAUAAAUAAUUGUAUACUUGUACUGUCAUAACAAUUAGUGUACCCCAUGUUAUUUACACCUUAGCAUGUGUAUUUAUCAUCUUCAUAAUGAAGUUAUUUUUCUGAUGAACCUACAACUGUAUAUGAUUAUUCCGUAAUACAAUUUUUUAUGAGAGAACAAUAGAGGACAAC